GCCCGGGUGGCGAAAUGGCAGACGCAACGGACUUAAAAUCCGUUAUCCUUGUGAUGUGUGGGUUCGAGUCCCACCCCGGGUACCA
rnacentral:tRNA from 1 species